rnacentral:tRNA from 1 species
GCGGGUAUAGCUCAGUGGUAGAGCACGUGCUUAGCAUGCAGGAGGUCCUGGGUUCAAUCCCCAGUACUUCCA